rnacentral:SRP_RNA from 1 species
GCUGGGUGAGGUAGCAUAUGCCUGUAGUCUCAGCUACUCGGGAGGCUGAGGCUGGAGGAUCGCUUGAGUUCAGGAGUUCUGGGCCAUUGUGCACUAUGCUGAUCAGGUGCCCGCACUAAGUUUGGCAUCAAUAUGGUGACCUUCUGGGAGCAGGGGACCACCAGGUUGCCUAAGGAGGGGUGAACCAGCCAAGGCUGGAAAUGGAGCAGGUCAAAACUCCUGGGCUGAAGAGUAGUGGGAUCGCGCUUGUGAAUAGCCACUGCACUCCAGCCUGGGCUACGUAGCAAGACCCUGUCUCU